GACCUUCGGGUCUAGUGGCGCACGGGUGCGUAACGCGUGGGAAUCUGCCCUUGGGUUCGGGAUAACAGUUGGAAACGACUGCUAAUACCGGAUGAUGACUUCGGUCCAAAGAUUUAUCGCCCAGGGAUGAGCCCGCGUCGGAUUAGCUAGUUGGUGAGGUAAGAGCUCACCAAGGCGACGAUCCGUAGCUGGUCUGAGAGGAUGAUCAGCCACACUGGGACUGAGACACGGCCCAGACUCCUACGGGAGGCAGCAGUGGGGAAUAUUGGACAAUGGGCGAAAGCCUGAUCCAGCAAUGCCGCGUGAGUGAUGAAGGCCUUAGGG
rnacentral:rRNA from 1 species